rnacentral:rRNA from 1 species
UCAAGUAAUUAAGUGCAUGUGGUGGAUGCCUUGGCAGUCAGAGGCGAUGAAAGACGUGAUAGCCUGCGAAAAGCUCCGGGGAGGCGGCAAAUAUCCUUUGAUCCGGAGAUGUCUGAAUGGGGGAACCCACCUACUUUAAGGUAGGUAUUGCAACAUGAAUACAUAGUGUUGCAAGGCGAACGAGGGGAAGUGAAACAUCUCAGUACCCUUAGGAAAAGAAAUCAAUUGAGAUUCCCUCAGUAGCGGCGAGCGAACGGGGAUCAGCCCAUUAAGUUAUGUGUGUUUUAGUGGAACGCUCUGGGAAGUGCGAACGUAGAGGGUGAUAUUCCCGUACACGAAAGGGCACACAUAAUGAUGACGAGUAGGGCGAGGCACGUGAAACCUUGUCUGAAUAUGGGGGGACCAUCCUCCAAGGCUAAAUACUCCUGACUGACCGAUAGUGAACCAGUACCGUGAGGGAAAGGCGAAAAGAACCCCUGUGAGGGGAGUGAAAUAGAUCCUGAAACCGCAUGCAUACAAGCAGUGGGAGCACCUUCGUGGUGUGACUGCGUACCUUUUGUAUAAUGGGUCAGCGACUUAUAUUCAGUAGCAAGGUUAACCGUAUAGGGGAGCCGUAGAGAAAUCGAGUCUUAAUAGGGCGUUUAGUUGCUGGGUAUAGACCCGAAACCAGGCGAUCUAUCCAUGAGCAGGUUGAAGGUUGGGUAACACUAACUGGAGGACCGAACCCACUGUCGUUGAAAAGCCAGGGGAUGACUUGUGGAUAGGGGUGAAAGGCUAAUCAAGCCUGGUGAUAGCUGGUUCUCCCCGAAAGCUAUUUAGGUAGCGCCUCGGACGAAUACCAUAGGGGGUAGAGCACUGUUUCGGCUAGGGGGUCAUCCCGACUUACCAAACCGAUGCAAACUCCGAAUACCUAUGAGUACUAUCCGGGAGACAGACUGCGGGUGCUAACGUCCGUAGUCAAGAGGAAAACAAUCCAGACCGCCAGCUAAGGCCCCAAAAUCAUAGUUAAGUGGGAAACGAUGUGGGAAGGCAUAGACAGCUAGGAGGUUGGCUUAGAAGCAGCCACCCUUUAAAGAAAGCGUAAUAGCUCACUAGUCGAGUCGGCCUGCGCGGAAGAUGUAACGGGGCUAAAACUAUGUGCCGAAGCUGCGGAUGUAUACUUUGUAUACGUGGUAGGGGAGCGUUCUGUAAGCCGAUGAAGGUGUGUUGAGAAGCAUGCUGGAGGUAUCAGAAGUGCGAAUGCUGACGUGAGUAACGACAAAACGGGUGAAAAACCCGUUCGCCGAAAGACCAAGGGUUCCAGUCCAACGUUAAUCGGGGCUGGGUGAGUCGACCCCUAAGGCGAGGCCGAAAGGCGUAGUCGAUGGGAAAAUGGUUAAUAUUCCAUUACUUCUGUGUAAUGCGAUGAGAGGACGGAGAAGGCUAAAUCAGCCUGGCGUUGGUUGUCCAGGUGAAAGGAUGUAGGCAUGUAUCUUAGGCAAAUCCGGGGUACUCUAUGCUGAGAUCUGAUAGCAAGCUGUACUUGUACAGCGAAGUGGUUGAUGCCAUGCUUCCAGGAAAAGUCUCUAAGCUUCAGUUACACAGGAAUCGUACCCGAAACCGACACAGGUGGUCAGGUCGAGUAGACCAAGGCGCUUGAGAGAACUCUGCUGAAGGAACUAGGCAAAAUGGUACCGUAACUUCGGGAGAAGGUACGCUGUUGUUGGUGAUGGAACUCGCUUCCUGAGCUGACGACAGCCGCAGAAACCAGGCCGCUGCAACUGUUUAUUAAAAACAUAGCACUCUGCAAACACGAAAGUGGACGUAUAGGGUGUGAUGCCUGCCCGGUGCUGGAAGGUUAAUUGAUGGGGUUAGCGUAAGCGAAGCUCUUGAUCGAAGCCCCAGUAAACGGCGGCCGUAACUAUAACGGUCCUAAGGUAGCGAAAUUCCUUGUCGGGUAAGUUCCGACCUGCACGAAUGGCAUAAUGAUGGCGGCGCUGUCUCCAGCAGAGGCUCAGUGAAAUCGAAAUCGCUGUGAAGAUGCAGUGUACCCGCGGCUAGACGGAAAGACCCCGUGAACCUUUACUGCAGCUUGACACUGAACUUUGACCUUACUUGUGUAGGAUAGGUGGGAGGCUUUGAAGCUGGAACGCUAGUUCCAGUGGAGCCGUCCUUGAAAUACCACCCUGGUAAUGUUGAGGUUCUAACUCUGUCCCGUGAUCCGGGACGAGGACCGUGUCUGGUGGGUAGUUUGACUGGGGCGGUCUCCUCCUAAAGAGUAACGGAGGAGUACGAAGGUGCGCUCAGCGUGGUCGGAAAUCACGCGUAGAGUAUAAAGGCAAAAGCGCGCUUAACUGCGAGACCCACAAGUCGAGCAGGUACGAAAGUAGGUCUUAGUGAUCCGGUGGUUCUGUAUGGAAGGGCCAUCGCUCAACGGAUAAAAGGUACUCUGGGGAUAACAGGCUGAUACCGCCCAAGAGUUCAUAUCGACGGCGGUGUUUGGCACCUCGAUGUCGGCUCAUCUCAUCCUGGGGCUGAAGCAGGUCCCAAGGGUAUGGCUGUUCGCCAUUUAAAGAGGUACGCGAGCUGGGUUUAGAACGUCGUGAGACAGUUCGGUCCCUAUCUACCGUGGGCGCUGGAAAUUUGAGAGGAUCUGCUCCUAGUACGAGAGGACCAGAGUGGACGAACCUCUGGUGUACCGGUUGUGACGCCAGUCGCAUCGCCGGGUAGCUAUGUUCGGAAGGGAUAACCGCUGAAAGCAUCUAAGCGGGAAGCCUACCUCAAGAUAAGAUUUCCCUAGGACUUUAUGUCCUCUAAAGAGCCGUUCGAGACUAGGACGUUGAUAGGUUGGAUGUGGAAGCAUAGUGAUAUGUGAAGCUGACCAAUACUAAUUGCUCGUGAGGCUUGACU